rnacentral:tRNA from 1 species
UUUAAAUAGCUUAAGUUUAGAGUAUAAUAUUGAAGAUAUUAGGGUGAUUAAUUAAUCUUUAGAUAA